GGCUCAGAACGAACGCUGGCGGCAGGCUUAACACAUGCAAGUCGAGCGGAAACGAUGGGAGCUUGCUCCCAGGCGUCGAGCGGCGGACGGGUGAGUAACGCGUAGGAAUCUACCCAGUAGAGGGGGAUAGCCCGGGGAAACCCGGAUUAAUACCGCAUACGCCCUAAGGGGGAAAGGCCGGGAUCUUCGGACCGGUCACUAUUGGAUGAGCCUGCGUAAGAUUAGCUAGUUGGUAGGGUAAAGGCCUACCAAGGCGACGAUCUUUAGCUGGUCUGAGAGGA
rnacentral:rRNA from 1 species